GCCGAGCUGCUAGCUGGAGCGGCUGCGGAAAGGGAGACGGGACAUUGGGGCGAGACAGGUCCACGGGGGCAGCAUCCCGCGGAAAGUUAGCCCCGGGCGAGCACACCCGGCCCGGAGGAACCGGCUUGGAAGGGGAGCGGGCCACUGGGGAGAGCAGUGGGCGACCGAGGUGGGGCUGGGCCGACCCCAGCGAGGGAAGAGUUCCCCCUCCGAAAUUCUUCUCUCCCUGAGAGAAGGAUUAAAAGGCAGGCAGCUGGAAGCUGUCACUGUAGCGUGCGGCCGGGUAGGCGACCACAGUGGAGAGGAAGAGGCCGUAGUAGUUGCUGCUGCGGACGACUAACCACCGCCUGCCGGAGAGGAAGAAAGGGACGCCCGCGCCGGGGAAUUACAGCAGCUGUUGACCGCCCUAGAGCGUGGGGGCCGCGGCCUCCCCCGGGUGUAAGCAGAGAGCUGGGCCCGCGUGAGAGCUCAGCGACUUUUUUUGAUCGCUGGAGACUGACCCGACGAGCCGGAGGCGGGCGCGCGGGGCUGCGGCUGGGGGGUGCGGCGACGGCGCCAGGAGGCUGACCCUGGAGUCGGUGCGGCCCCGAGCGCGUGGCCCUGGGAAACUGCUCCGCGGUGGGGAAGUAUUUUUCCGGUAGAUGUUGGGGCGUUGCUGCGUGUCUGUGCUGGGCAGAAUGGCAGGGUCCUGGUGCAUGCCGGGGGUGUGGGUGGUAAGGUGUGCGGGAGGUGCUGUAGGGCCGAGGAGGAGGGGCCCACGAAGACAAGGUGAUGGAGGAUAGCUGCUGCUCGGGGGCCUAAACCAGUUGGAUCCUAGAGCAGGGCAGGUGUGGUGAGGCGACGAAGGGCAGUAAUCAGCCCACGGGAUUGCGCCCUUAGGGAAGACCCGGGCUUACUGAAUUAGGUGAAAGACAAACCACCUCUUCAGACCGGGGCGCCUCAGAGUCUGACCUGAGACUUCAAGCACCCAGAUUUCUCGGGGCCUUGCGUCUGCUGUUCCCGCUGUCUCUGCCCCGGAUGGGCGGCAGGAUUCAAACGCGCCGCGCCGCCUUUGGCUAAGGGACCCUGGUGAGACCGCCAGGAAUGAGAAUACGAUGGAAGUACUCUCAGUGAAAGAAAGAUGAGGGGCUCUUCAGUCUGUGGCCCAGACCCUCAGAGCACUAACCUCUUCAGUUUUGACUAAUUCCUACUCCUAGACUUAAAAUCCUUUGAAGACAAGGACCACCAUUUUAUGUCAAGCAUACAUCAAGCACUCUAGGGAGGGUUACACAGCGGCACUGCCCGUGGACAAAAGGGUAAACCCUGUGAAAAGACAGCUCCACAGGCUGCAAACCUGAUAAGGGCAGUUGCAGACCAACUCUCCAUUUUGUGUUAUAUUGACCAGACCAGACUGCAGGAUUGUGUUAAUUGUUUUUUAUUUUAUUUACUUAUUUUGUUUGCAAAUGCUUAUGUUGAAAACAGCUGAUUAGUUUUUAAGACUGUGAACUCCCUACCUUUAUUGGUAGGUUAUUUUAUGUAUGCUCAUCCCAAAAGUUUAAAGUCACUUAUUCCAGCAUCUCAUCUGUCUGAG